AUAUUGAUGCAGGGGAGAUACCAUGAUCAUGACGAUAGUUUUCCCAGGGCAAGGCUUAUCCAUUGUCCUCUGAAUGUGCUGACCCCUGCGAUUUCCCAAAAUGUGGGACACUCAACUGCAUAAUUUGUGGUAGUGGGGGAAUGCGUUCAUGCUCUCCCCUG